rnacentral:rRNA from 1 species
UACGUAGGGUGCAGGCGUUAAUCGGAAUUACUGGGCGUAAAGCGUGCGCAGGCGGUUUGCUAAGACAGGUGUGAAAUCCCAAGGCUUAACCUUGGAACUGCGUCGGAUACUGGUUGGCUUGAAUUCGGGAGAGGGAUGCAGAAUUCCAGGUGUAGCGGUGAAAUGCGUAGAUAUCUGGAGGAAUACCGGUGGCGAAGGCGGCAUCCUGGACCGACAUUGACGCUGAGGAGCGAAAGCUAGGGGAGCAAACGGG